rnacentral:rRNA from 1 species
UACGUAGGGUGCGAGCGUUAAUCGGAAUUACUGGGCGUAAAGCGUGCGCAGGCGGUUUCGUAAGCCAGAUGUGAAAGCCCCGGGCUUAACCUGGGAAUGGCAUUUGGGACUGCAAGGCUUGAGUGCGGCAGAGGAGACUGGAAUUCCUGGUGUAGCAGUGAAAUGCGUAGAUAUCAGGAGGAAUACCGAUGGCGAAGGCAGGUCUCUGGGCUGACACUGACGCUCAUGCACGAAAGCGUGGGGAGCAAACAGG